UACAGAGGGUGCGAGCGUUGUUCGGAAUUACUGGGCGUAAAGGGCGCGUAGGCGGCACUGUUAGUCAGGCGUGAAAGUCCUGGGCUCAACCUGGGAACUGCGCUUGAUACGGCAGAGCUAGAGGAUGGAAGAGGCUCGCGGAAUUCCCAGUGUAGAGGUGAAAUUCGUAGAUAUUGGGAAGAACACCGGUGGCGAAGGCGGCGAGCUGGUCCAUUACUGACGCUGAGGCACGAAAGCUAGGGGAGCAAACAGG
rnacentral:rRNA from 1 species